rnacentral:rRNA from 1 species
GACGAACGCUGGCGGCGUGCUUAACACAUGCAAGUCGAACGGAAAGGCCCUGCUUUUGUGGGGUGCUCGAGUGGCGAACGGGUGAGUAACACGUGAGUAACCUGCCCUUGACUUUGGGAUAACUUCAGGAAACUGGGGCUAAUACCGGAUAGGAGCUCCUGCUGCAUGGUGGGGGUUGGAAAGUUUCGGCGGUUGGGGAUGGACUCGCGGCUUAUCAGCUUGUUGGUGGGGUAGUGGCUUACCAAGGCUUUGACGGGUAGCCGGCCUGAGAGGGUGACCGGCCACAUUGGGACUGAGAUACGGCCCAGACUCCUACGGGAGGCAGCAGUGGGGAAUAUUGCACAAUGGGCGGAAGCCUGAUGCAGCAACGCCGCGUGCGGGAUGACGGCCUUCGGGUUGUAAACCGCUUACGCCUGUGACGAAGCGUGAGUGACAGUAAUGGGUAAAGAAGCACCGGCUAACUACGUG